rnacentral:tRNA from 1 species
CGACGAGCUGGUCCGCACGGUGAGGACGGACUCCCCGCUGGGGAUCCGGGUGAAUCCGCAGACCGGGGCCGGUUCGAUCCAGGCGCUGUCGAC